CCUACGGGAGGCUGCAGUGAGGAAUAUUGGUCAAUGGGCGCGAGCCUGAACCAGCCAAGUCGCGUGAGGGAGGACGGCCCUACGGGUUGUACACCUCUUUUACCGGGGAACAACGGGCGUCACGUGUGGCGCCACUGAGAGUACCCGGGGAAAAAGCAUCGGCUAACUCCGUGCCAGCGGCCGCGGUAAUACGGAGGAUGCGAGCGUUAUCCGGAUUUAUUGGGUUUAAAGGGUGCGUAGUCGGAUCGUUAAGUCAGUGGGAAAGUUUAGGGGCUCAACCCCUUCCCGCCAUUGAAACUGGCGCUCUUGAGUGGAAGAGAAGUAUGCGGAAUGCGUGGUGUAGCGGUGAAAUGCAUAGAUAUCACGCAGAACCCCGAUUGCGAAGGCAGCAUGCCGGCUUCCGACUGACGCUGAAGCACGAAAGCGUGGGGAUCGAACAGGAUUAGAUACCCGGGUAGUC
rnacentral:rRNA from 1 species